UCAUCCCCUCGGCCUUUUGGCUAAGAUCAAGUGUAGUAUCUGUUCUUCUGAAAAUUUUAAAAGAUGAUUUAUCCUGGUUAUUCCUACAGAUGAAGUUUAGUAGUCUCAAUGUUCAAAAGUUCAAGCAUAUCUCAUUGUACUUCAUUUUGUGAACUAAUUUGG
ensembl:snRNA U2 U2 spliceosomal RNA